GAGCAUAUAGCACAGUCUGGUAAUGCAAUGGUCUGCAACACCAUGAUCGCUGGUUCAAAUCCAGUUAUGCUCU
rnacentral:tRNA from 3 species